rnacentral:rRNA from 1 species
GUAGGGAAUCUUCGGCAAUGGACGAAAGUCUGACCGAGCAACGCCGCGUGAGUGAAGAAGGUUUUCGGAUCGUAAAACUCUGUUGGUAGAGAAGAACGUUGGUGAGAGUGGAAAGCUCAUCAAGUGACGGUAUCUAACCAGAAAGGGACGGCUAACUACGUGCCAGCAGCCGCGGUAAUACGUAGGUCCCAAGCGUUGUCCGGAUUUAUUGGGCGUAAAGCGAGCGCAGGUGGUUUCUUAAGUCUGAUGUAAAAGGCAGUGGCUCAACCAUUGUGUGCAUUGGAAACUGGUAGACUUGAGUGCAGGAGAGGAGAGUGGAAUUCCAUGUGUAGCGGUGAAAUGCGUAGAUAUAUGGAGGAACACCGGUGGCGAAAGCGGCUCUCUGGCCUGUAACUGACACUGAGGCUCGAAAGCGUGGGGAGCAAACAGGAUUAGAUACCCCUGUAGUCC